GACGAACGCUGGCGGCGUGCUUAACACAUGCAAGUCGAACGGAAAGGCCCUGCUUUUGUGGGGUGCUCGAGUGGCGAACGGGUGAGUAACACGUGAGUAACCUGCCCUUGACUUUGGGAUAACUUCAGGAAACUGGGGCUAAUACCGGAUAGGAGCUCCUGCUGCAUGGUGGGGGCUGGAAAGUUUCGGCGGUUGGGGAUGGACUCGCGGCUUAUCAGCUUGUUGGUGGGGUAGUGGCUUACCAAGGCUUUGACGGGUAGCCGGCCUGAGAGGGUGACCGGCCACAUUGGGACUGAGAUCCGGCCCAGACUCCUACGGGAGGCAGCAGUGGGGAAUAUUGCACAAUGGGCGGAAGCCUGAUGCAGCAACGCCGCGUGCGGGAUGACGGCCUUCGGGUUGUAAACCGCUUUCGCCUGUGACGAAGCGUGAGUGACGGUAAUGGGUAAAGAAGCACCGGCUAACUACGUG
rnacentral:rRNA from 1 species